UGGGGGAUAUUGCACAAUGGGGGAAACCCUGAUGCAGCGACGCCGCGUGAGCGAAGAAGGCCUUCGGGUCGUAAAGCUCUGUCCUAAGGGAAGAUAAUGACGGUACCUUAGGAGGAAGCCCCGGCUAACUACGUGCCAGCAGCCGCGGUAAAACGUAGGGGGCGAGCGUUGUCCGGAAUUACUGGGCGUAAAGGGUGCGUAGGCGGCUAUUUAAGUCAGAUGUGAAAGGCUACGGCUCAACCGUAGUGAGCAUUUGAAACUGAAUAGCUUGAGUCAAGGAGAGGGAAGUGGAAUUCCUGGUGUAGCGGUGAAAUGCGUAGAUAUCAGGAGGAAUACCAGUGGCGAAGGCGACUUCCUGGCCUUAGACUGACGCUGAGGCACGAAAGCGUGGGGAGCAAAC
rnacentral:rRNA from 1 species